GGAUAGCUCAGUUGGUAGAGUGCAAGGCUCUUAAUAUCGGGGUCAUGAGUUCAAGCCCCACACUGGGUAACU